rnacentral:rRNA from 1 species
CCUACGGGGGGCAGCAGUGAGGAAUAUUGGUCAAUGGGCGCGAGUCUGAACCAGCCAAGUAGCGUGAAGGAUGACUGCCCUACGGGUUGUAAACUUCUUUUAUAAAGGAAUAAAGUGAGGCACGUGUGCCUUUUUGCAUGUACUUUAUGAAUAAGGAUCGGCUAACUCCGUGCCAGCAGCCGCGGUAAUACGGAGGAUCCGAGCGUUAUCCGGAUUUAUUGGGUUUAAAGGGAGCGUAGAUGGGUUGUUAAGUCAGUUGUGAAAGUUUGCGGCUCAACCGUAAAAUUGCAAUUGAUACUGGCAGCCUUGAGUACAGUUGAGGUGGGCGGAAUUCGUGGUGUAGCGGUGAAAUGCUUAGAUAUCACGAAGAACUCCGAUUGCGAAGGCAGUUCACUGGACUGCAACUGACACUGAGGCUCGAAAGUGUGGGUAUCAAACAGGAUUAGAUACCCGGGUAGUC